rnacentral:rRNA from 1 species
GACGAACGCUGGCGGCGUGCUUAACACAUGCAAGUCGAACGGAAAGGCCCUGCUUGCAGGGUACUCGAGUGGCGAACGGGUGAGUAACACGUGGGUGAUCUGCCCUGCACUUCGGGAUAAGCCUGGGAAACUGGGUCUAAUACCGGAUAGGAGCCAUCCUUAGUGUGAUGGUUGGAAAGUUUUUUCGGUGUAGGAUGAGCUCGCGGCCUAUCAGCUUGUUGGUGGGGUAAUGGCCUACCAAGGCGGCGACGGGUAGCCGGCCUGGGAGGGUGGACGGCCACAAUGGGGCUUGGGUUCGGGCCAGGCUCCUACGGGGGGCAACAGUGGGGAAUAUUGCACAAUGGGGGCGAGCCUGAUGCAGCGACGCCGCGUGGGGGAUGACGGCCUUCGGGUUGGAAACUCGUUUCGCUAGGGACGAAGCUUUUUGUGACGGUACCUAGAUAAGAAGCACCGGCUAACUACGUG